AGAGUUUGAUCCUUGGCUCAGAUUGAACGCUGGCGGCAUGGCUAAAACAUGCAAGUCGAGGGAGAAACCCCUUCGGGGGUGGAAACCGGCGGAAGGGCGAGGAAUACAUUGGAACGUGCCCCGAGGUGGGGGAUAGCCAGGGGAAACUCUGGGUAAUACCCCACAAGCUCUUCGGAGGAAAGCUCCGGCGCCUUGGGAGCGGCCAACGUCCCAUCAGGUAGUUGGUGAGGUAAAGGCUCACCAAGCCAAAGACGGGUAGCGGGUGUGAGAGCAUGGCCCGCCACAUCGGGACUGAGACACUGCCCGGACUCCUACGGGAGGCUGCAGCGACGAAUCUUCCGCAAUGCGCGAAAGCGUGACGGAGCAAUGCCGCGUGCAGGAUGAAGCGGCUUCGCCGUGUAAACUGCUGUCAGGGUGCAGGAAUACUGACCAUACCCAGAGGAAGGACCGGCUAACCUCGUGCCAGCAGCCGCGGUAAUACGAGGGGUCCAAGCGUUAAUCGGAAUCACUGGGCUUAAAGGGUACGUAGGCGGCCCUGUAAGCAUCUCGUGAAAUCCCACGGCUCAACCGUGGAAUUGCGGGGUGAACUACAGGGCUUGAGGCAGGUAGAGGUCGUCGGAACGAUCGGUGGAGCGGUGAAAUGCGUUGAUAUCGAUCGGAACGCCGAAGGAGAAGUCAGGCGACUGGGCCUGUCCUGACGCUGAGGUACGAAAGCGUGGGUAGCGAACGGGAUUAGAUACCCCGGUAGUCCACGCCCUAAACGAUGUGCACUAGAUCGAGGCGGCUCUGACGUCGUCUCGGCCGAAGCGAAAGCGUUAAGUGCACCGCCUGGGGAGUACGGUCGCAAGGCUAAAACUCAAAGGAAUUGACGGGGGCUCACACAAGCGGUGGAGCAUGUUGCUUAAUUCGAGGCAACGCGAAGAACCUUACCAGGGUUUGACAUGCAUGGAUUAGCUCUUGGAAACUUGAGUAACGCCCUUUGGGUGGAACAUGCACAGGUGCUGCAUGGCUGUCGUCAGCUCGUGCUGUGAAGUGUCGGGGUAAGUCCCUUAACGAGCGCAACCCCUAUCGUUAGUUGCUAACAGGUUAUGCUGAGUACUCUAGCGAGACUGCCGGUGUCAAACCGGAGGAAGGUGGGGAUGACGUCAAGUCCUCAUGGCCCUUAUGUCCUGGGAUGCAAACGUGCUACAAUGGCGUGUACAGAGCGACGCAAUCUCGCGAGAGUGAGCAAAUCGCAAAAAGCACGCCCCAGUUCGGAUUGCAGGCUGCAACUCGCCUGCAUGAAGUUGGAAUCGCUAGUAAUCGUGGAUCAGCUACGCCACGGUGAAUACGUUCCUGAGCCUUGUACACACCGCCCGUCACGUCAUGGAAGCCGGGAGCGCCCGAAGUCGCCCCAUCUCAGGGGUGCCUACGGCGAGAUCGGUGACUGGGACGAAGUCGUAACAAGGUAACCGUA
rnacentral:rRNA from 1 species